UAAAACGAUAUGCAUGCUAACUAGCUAGCAGCUCUCAUAUAUUUGGCUUCAAAUAGCUCCUAAAACUAAAAGAAUCAAAUCUUAAAUGGAGUGCAAAACCAUAUUAUCAACACAAAAAUUAGAAGCUAUACAUAUAAGAGAAAUGAUAUUUGCGAGCAGUCUUAAGUUGUCCAAGCCCCGCAUACUCUUUUUUAAAAAAAUAGAUAAAUAUAGAACCUACAUGCAAAUUUUAUUUUAUUAAUAGUAGACUCCACUUUUUCAAAAAGAAUGUAAGGCUUGCACACCUUAAAACUAUAUCUAAUACUACUCCGCAUAUAAUCACAUCGAGAUUUGUUUAACUAGAUUGUUGCCAAUAAUAUAUGCCAGGAAAAAAAAAUUCUAAGCGAAAGCAUCUGAUGCUAACGCCCUAAUUGAGAGAUCGAGUGCUUUCCGAAUAAUAAUCCGAUCAUCGAAUGCCACCAUCCCCUAAUAAUUCUCAUGAUUCCAUUGUAACUUGUGAUUCGAAUUCCUCUGUCAUGCAUGCAUGCGCGCAGCGGUAGUACUCGUGCGAACCCUGCUAGCUAGCUAGCUAGCUAUAAAUAGAUAGAGUAUGCAUGUUCGGAAGAUCAAGACAGUACUACUAGUCGAGGCCAAAGAGUUAGCUAAUUAAGCUUGCUUUUAUUUGCAUAAUUUACAUCUCGAUCGUUUAUUAAAUCUUUGGAUCGAACAAUAUGGCAUCGGUGAAGGCUGAAAAACCCGUGGGGACACAGCUGUUUGGGCAGGCCGUCAAGAAGGAGCCAGCUGCCAAGCCCGGUACUGAUGGUGCAACCAAAGCUCCAGCAUCCAAGUCUGCAAAGAAGGCCGCACCAAAGGCACCUCAGGAAUCUAAAAAGAAGGGGAAAGGAGGCAAAUCAACAAAGCACUAGCCAAUUAAUUAACUAGCUCGAUCAAUGCAUGCAUGCUGUGCGAUCAUGUACGUAGUAGUCUGAUGAUCAGAAAAUUAAGCAUGCGGCUAUAUAAUUAGUAUUAUAGGAAGAUCAUCAAAGUUACAUUAAUAUUACAGUACUUAUCCCAUACCCUUUUGGUUUAGAUAAUUUAUGUGACCACUUAGUUGAUAUCUAUGUAAGUCGUGGGCUAGCUUGGCCUAUUAAAAUAACAAGGAUGAUCUAGAUAAA